rnacentral:rRNA from 1 species
AUUGAACGCUGGCGGCAGGCCUAACACAUGCAAGUCGAACGAGUGGCGGACGGGUGAGUAAUGUCUGGGAAACUGCCUGAUGGAGGGGGAUAACUACUGGAAACGGUAGCUAAUACCGCAUACCAUCAGAUGUGCCCAGAUGGGAUUAGCUAGUUGGUGGGGUAACGGCUCACCAAGGCGACGAUCCCUAGCUGGUCUGGUAGGAUGACCAGCCACACUGGAACUGCGACACGUGCCAGCGUCCUCCGUGAGGCAGCAGUGGGGCAUAUUGCAAAAUGGGGGCAAGCCUGAUGCAGCCAUGCCGCGUGUAUGAAGAAGGCCUUCGGGUUGUAAAGUACUUUCAGCGGGGAGGCGUUACCCGCAGAAGAAGCACCGGCUAACUCCGUGCCAGCAGCCGCGGUAAUUC